GCCCUCCAAAAUUUCCCAAAGCACCAUCAGCUGCCCAACACUUGGCAGUUGGAGCAAGGAAUUUGACAACUGGGAGCCCUCAACACUCUACAUGGUAGGAUCAAUGGAAAAUGGCAGAGUUCAGAAGUAGGUCCCCACUGUAUGUGAAUAACUCAUUUUUGGCAAAAUGCACUAAGUAUUUGCCAAGUGGCAUACCUUCAACACUCAGACAGAUCACUGCUAUGGAAAACCAGUAAAACCUAAAUUUUAUUGUCGCCAUAUAGAUAUAAUUACAGACUUCAAUGAGUCCUCAGGUAGAAAAAGGACACAGAAAGUCUGCGAUAAACUGAUUAGGAACAAAACUUUUGGUUUGAAGAAUGAGCCUGACAGUGACCCUGGCUGGCCUCCAAGUCUGCAUAUGUUUGGCUGAAUAUGGCGACAGGAUAGAGGGAGCGCAUCAGCAUUUAUGCUAACAGUCCAUUUUUGGUUUUGUUGUUGGGAGACGAUUUGGUAAUAUGUAAAACAGUGUGCUGUCACUCAAGUUAUCUCUUUUGUCCUCUCUCAAAAAUCUCCAUUUCUUCUCCAAAGCAUCUCAAAGCCCAUUAGACCAAUUUCAAACUUUUCAUUUGAGGAAUUAAUUCUACACAGCUCUUAGUCCCUAAUAUAUUUCCCCACUCACAUAUCUUUUCUCAUUUGAUUGUCUUUUUGAUCUGUGAAACAGAAUCUCUUGGUUAAUUUAGUUUAUUGUUACAUUAGACUUUUCUACCUGUAAGAGAAUGAGUCCUUACAAUAUACCUUGUUGAUAUUAUUGACUUGUGAAUAUGUAAUGGGUGAGCAGCUCUAAGGCUUCUGAAUUAAUCCAAUUGUUUAUCUAUAAAAACACCUGCAGCCAGAGAGUAAGAUAACAAAAUCACUGAAGAAAUCAAAACAUGAGAGUUGAAUCACAAAAAUCACAUUUUAUUUUGAUGAUCUUCUAUUGUAGGUAUCUACCUCAGCACAUCAAUAAAAAGAUAAUUUUGUAUAGUAAAACAAAUGAGCUCUUUAUAAGCAUAUAAAAACCAAUGACAUUAAAAGCUGCAUUAAUGCUUAGUAGACUAAAACCAAAUAAUCCAGUACAAU
ensembl:lncRNA